rnacentral:antisense_RNA from 1 species
GUGGGAGGGGGCUUGCUCCCGAUAGCUAAGUGUCAGUCAACAGCGUUGUGACUGAUGCACCGCAAUCGGGAGCAAGCCCCCUCCCAC